rnacentral:rRNA from 1 species
GCCCUAAACAAUAUUUAAGGUGUGACCUGCCCAAUGAUUUUAAAACCAAAAAUAAAAAUUUUUUUACAAAAUUAAACGGACGCGGUAACCUUGACCGUGAUAAUGUAGCAUAAUCAUUCGCCAUUUAAUUGAUGGAUAGUAUGAAUGGUUGAACGAAUGUUCCACUGUCUUAAAAAGAGAUAACCAAAAAUUUAAAUAAUAGUUAAGAUGCUAUUUAAAAUUGUAAGACGAAAAGACCCUAUAGAGCUUAACUACAUUCUUUUUUAGAUAAUGAAAAAACCUUUUCAAAAAAAUAAAGAAAGGUAGUUUAGUUGGGGCGACUAUUUUUUAAAUAUAACAAAAAUAAGCAAAGUUAAUAAAAUACUUAUUGUAUAAUAAAUAUAUUUAACAAUUACUAAAGUAGGCUAUAAUGACCUGUUAUUCCUGAAUAAAAAGAAUAACAAUUAAUAAAUAAAAGCUACCUUAGGGAUAACAGGAUAAUUUUAUUUUAGAGACCCAAUCGAAAAUAAAGUUUGUCACCUCUAUGUUGAAUUAAGAUAUCCAGAUGAUGCAGAAGUUAUCAAAGGUAGGUCUGUUCGACCUUUAAAAUCUU